GAAUGUGCAUGGCGUCUCGAACCGAUAUCUCGGCCGUGUUUCGUCGAUUCGCGUUGCAAUAUUCGAAUACCGAGUACUUUUUCCGGCCGAGAGAGGGAAGCCUCGUGAUAUUUCGUCCGUUCCCCUAGAAUUUGUCGCGUGACUAGUGCGAAUAGGUUAGGUCGAUCAUCGUCCACCAUUAUUGUCAUAAUCGUUGCGAAGAGAGCAAGCGACACGCGAUCGCUGUUGAGAUCCAGCUGUUGUUUUUUCCAUCCUUUUUCUUUUUGUAUUAACAAUGGAACGGAGCUGAGGCGAGUGAUUAACGAAAAUCAAGGUACGGAGAAUAAAUUAACACGCGAGAAUGACGCAAACAAAUGAGGCAGACUACCAAUUGCAAUUAGAUAUUAUCGACUCGACGGACGAGAGUUGUUACAGGAACUGGAAAAAAAAGGACUUGUUAAUCGCGUGUUAUCUCGUAAUAAAACAAGAAUUCGGUUCGAUUCGUUGAUCGAAUUACGUUGAAACAGAAUCGAUGUGAUAAUUUUUCUUUCCUUUUUUUUUUAUCAAUUAUUUUAUCGAUACUCAUUUUCGAUUCGGUUUGAUUUAUCAUUCGAAAUUUAACUCCUACUCGGAAAUAAAAAAAUCGCGUUCCCGCCUCGCGACUUGUUAACGUAAUCCCACGCGCCGUUAGUUUUAUGCUAAAUCGUCGUGAUCGAGCUUGGUUCGAUCGAACAAAGGGAAAAAUAUGCAUUAUAUAGAAAAAUUACGUAUUCUCAAAAGGGGAACGCAUCUGUUGCUGGGAGAAGUACACGCUUCGUUCGGGAAAAGCAGAUCGUUUGAAUAAUAAAACGGCCGGAUAAUGGCGUUCGGAUAACGGGGGCUCCUACUAUUUUCACCCCUUUUAUAAGUUGUACGUGUAGUAAUGCGUGCUUUAAUGCUUGGAAGGCACGGAAAUUCUUCUACUUAAAUUUAACCCCCGCGUGGACGGGGUUAAAAAUGAAAAAUAAACUUUAUCCCUCUCGUCGUUAUCCGAGUUGAAGAUGUAGUAAGCGAUAAAAAAAAUGUAACGAACAAUUUUUCUCCGAUAUCUUCUCUUCUUUGAAACAGAAUCGGUAUGUUUCCUGCUCCUGCGUCGUCAUAAAAAAUCCGUCGCCGAACUGUCUGUGAAAUUUUACAAUUUCAAUUUAAAAAGUCUAGAAAGAGAGAGAAAUCGAGAAUUUAGAUUUGUUUUAUAUAUAUAUAUAUACAUAUUGCAACGUGCGAAACAAAAGAGCCCUUUUUCCCCAUCGACCAUACAUACAGGAAUACAAGAAUACCUCGUUCCAUGGACGAGUGACUGCUGCUCGAUCGCGUAAAUAUUUUUCAUAAAUAAUCUACGUGGGAGAGAGAGAAGCACCUUUGUUCCUUUAUCGGAGGCGGGGGGAAACAGCUCUUCGUGGCGAUUGUAUUUUAUUCGGUCACGAGGUUGCCAGUUGAUUGUGCAAAUUCUGUUUAUCGGGAACGCGCGUAAAUUCAUGCGUGAAUAAUUUAUGUCAACCCGAGGAGAGAGACAGACAGAGAGAGGAGAGAGCGCACUUUUGUCCCUUUGUCGAUGGAAGCCUCGGGAACGGCGAUAUUUUAUUCCGCGUCGCAACAAUUGCUGCUUGCUCCUCGUCUCGCGAGGAAUUUUCUUGCCUUGCGCAAAUUUAUGUAUAAAUUUACGCGUAAAUAACAAGUGCCCUCCCCCCUCUCGAUUCUCUUUAACAAUCGUGAUAAUAUCGUCGUCAUGAUUAAAUCGCGCUCGGAAUAUUCGAUAAGUGCGCGAAUAAUUGCGACCUACUCGUGCCGGGAAACGUGAUUUAACGAGACAACGGUGACAAUAAGAUGAAGAGGAAGGAUAAAAAGAGAGGAAAAAAAAGAAAAGAAAAAAGGAAAAACGAAGGAAGAUUGAAAAUAAGAGAGCGGCGUAAACGACUCGAGAAGUUUGAUGAUGAAUUCGUCGUAUCGACGAAAGAGAUCUUUACGCGAUAGAAGAGGUUCGAAAAUGAGACUUUGGGGGAGAACUUUAGACUUAUACGGGUAUAAUAAUUAUAUGCGCGUGUAUGUAGUUUGAAAUAAUACGAAAGAAUUCUUUUUCCUGAGAGAUGGGGAAGGGGAUGGACGUAGGUAAAAUAAUUAACCGGAUCGGGACAAAAACGAGGGAAAAAAGUAUAGCGUGUAUCGUCUAAAAAUGCUCGUUUAUCUUCCCCGCCGACUAAUUUAAUUCCUCGAGGUAUCCCUCCCCUCCCCCCACUCCCUCGCCGGGAAACCUAACAGAGCGAAGCAUCAAAUAAACAACAUUUCCGUUUCAUAAUGACGCGAGCACGUCGUUACGAACGACUGGCCACGGCGCAAUUGGAAAAAGAAUGGAGGGAAGGAAGGAAGGAAGGAAGAAGAAAAAGGAAGAAGGAGAAGGAGAAGAAAGCAAAACGCGAUGUGAAGAAGAAGCAAGUUUCGAGUAACGAAUUAUUCGAUUGCACAAUGGUGACCAAUCUUAAAGCGAGACGGAGAGAGGCCAUUAAGGAGAGGGCAGGCAGGCAGGCCUUAAGGAGAAGAUGGAGAGCAGAGUUCGGGAAGAAAGAAAAUCAGAGGGUAACAUUACCAUUGUAAUGGAAAUACGAAACGAAUGCAAGAGGCGUGGUGAUAAAGAGCACGUGGCAAGAGGGUUAGCUGCGGGCCAUUUGGAAUCGGGCUCGUUCGACGAUUGAGCCGAUGCCAGUAUGCCGCGGGCUUCGUUUCAAAAAAC